UGGGGAAUAUUGGACAAUGGGCGCAAGCCUGAUCCAGCCAUGCCGCGUGAGUGAUGAAGGCCCUAGGGUUGUAAAGCUCUUUCACCGGUGAAGAUAAUGACGGUAACCGGAGAAGAAGCCCCGGCUAACUUCGUGCCAGCAGCCGCGGUAAUACGAAGGGGGCUAGCGUUGUUCGGAUUUACUGGGCGUAAAGCGCACGUAGGCGGACUUUUAAGUCAGGGGUGAAAUCCCGGGGCUCAACCCCGGAACUGCCUUUGAUACUGGAAGUCUUGAGUAUGUUAGAGGUGAGUGGAAUUCCGAGUGUAGAGGUGAAAUUCGUAGAUAUUCGGAGGAACACCAGUGGCGAAGGCGGCUCACUGGACCAUUACUGACGCUGAGGUGCGAAAGCGUGGGGAGCAAACAGG
rnacentral:rRNA from 1 species